AACCUCCACUUUCUUUACACAUCAGACCUAAACAUUGGUCUGAGUGCCUCUAGAGACAGGAAAAGUAAAACUGAAACUGCCCAGGAUUCUCUUAUAACAAGCUGGUUUGGAACAACCAAAC
rnacentral:snoRNA from 1 species